UAGAUUCAGAUGUCCCAGCAUGAAGGUC
rnacentral:piRNA from 1 species